AGCGAACGCUGGCGGCAGGCCUAACACAUGCAAGUCGAACGAACCCUUCGGGGUUAGUGGCGGACGGGUGAGUAACACGUGGGAGCGUGCCUUUAGGUUCGGAAUAGCUCCUGGAAACGGGUGGUAAUGCCGAAUGUGCCCUUCGGGGGAAAGAUUUAUCGCCUUUAGAGCGGCCCGCGUCUGAUUAGCUAGUUGGUGAGGUAAUGGCUCACCAAGGCGACGAUCAGUAGCUGGUCUGAGAGGAUGACCAGCCACAUUGGGACUGAGACACGGCCCAAACUCCUACGGGAGGCAGCAGUGGGGAAUCUUGCGCAAUGGGCGAAAGCCUGACGCAGCCAUGCCGCGUGGAUGAUGAAGGUCUUAGGAUUGUAAAAUCCUUUCACCGGUGAAGAUAAUGACUGUAGCCGGAGAAGAAGCCCCGGCUAACUUCGUGCCAGCAGCCGCCGCGGUAA
rnacentral:rRNA from 1 species